rnacentral:rRNA from 1 species
UGGCGGACGGGUGAGUAACGCGUGGGGAACCUGCCCUGUACCGGGGGAUAGCAGCCGGAAACGGCUGAUAAUACCGCAUAAGCGCACGAAUGUCGCAUGACAUGGUGUGAAAAACUCCGGUGGUAUAGGAUGGACCCGCGUCUGAUUAGCCGGUUGGUGGGGUAAAAGCCUACCAAAGCGAAGAUCAGUAGCCGAGUUGAGAGACUGACCGGCCACAUUGGAACUGAGACACGGCCCAGACUCCUACGGGAGGCAGCAGUC